GGACAGCAGGACCCGUCUGGGGCAAUGGGGACCCAGCCUGGGCUGGGCAGGCCCCACAUAGGGCACACAGGUGGCUCUGGGUCAAGGAAGGGGCUGGGUCAGGGUCGGGAAGGACAUGAUGUGUGAUGGGGCCACCUGCACCUCGCUAGGAAGCUGGAGAAGCUUCGAGAGAAGGAGCGUAAGAAGGAAGCCAAGCGGAAGAUCUCCAGCCUGUCCUUCACCCUGGAGGAGGAAGAAGAGGGAGGCGAGGAGGAAGAGGAGGCGGCCAUGUAUGAGGAGGAGAUGGAAGAGAUCACCACAAAGAAGAGAAAACUGGGGAAGAACCCAGACGUUGACACAAGCUUCUUGCCUGAUCGAGACCGUGAGGAGGAGGAGAAUCGGCUUCGAGAAGAGCUGCGGCAGGAGUGGGAAGCCAAGCAGGAGAAGAUCAAGAGUGAGGAGAUCGAGAUCACCUUCAGCUACUGGGAUGGCUCUGGGCACCGGCGGACAGUCAAGGUAGGCAGCGUGCAGCCUGCUUCCUGCUCACCAUGGGCCCAGCCUCCCUCAGGUUCCGUGGGAAGGAACUGACCUUCCUGACUUGGGAAGCCCCAGGGAUCCUGAGGAUAACUGGCUCCAGGGCCUGGCCCCCUGUCUGGGGAGUGAGGCCCAGGCCUGGCUGAGGCUCUGCAGUGUCUGG
rnacentral:sRNA from 1 species